UGACAUGAUCUGCUUCCGGGU
rnacentral:piRNA from 1 species